rnacentral:lncRNA from 10 species
AGACGAAGGUGAAGGAGCUGCGGGGCUAGUUCUGAGCCGGGAAAAGAUGGAGUGAAGGUACCUGAGCGCAGGAACCAUGGUCUUCAUUGCUGCCUCAGCAUUAGCGGAAGUGCCACGGGCCGGCUCCCAGGGGGCCAGAGUUUCCCAGGAACACCAUUGAGUACCACUGAACUAGAGUCUGCAAGUUAAAGUAAGGCAAGAAGGAAAACCGGAAACAACUGUAAAAACCUGACCUUUCGUCACCUUAAUACUGGCCAUCAUUUAUCGAGUGCUUAUUAUGUAACAGACAUUGUUCUCAGUGUGUGAGUGCAGUGUUCCUCAAACCUAAAUGUGGGCCUGAAUCGCAGCGGAUCUUGGUAAAAUGCAGUUUCUCAUUCAGUACCUCUGGGGUGCGGCCUGAGAUUCUGCAUUUCCAACAAGCUCCCAGGAUACUUUGUA